AAUUGCCUAUGGAACUAUGGAGGAAGUUGGACCUUUUAGAGUCCACGGUGAUGGGAAGGCAUUGUAUAGGAAUCACUACGCAUGGAAUCAUGCGGCAAAUAUAUUAUUCUUGGAGUCCCCAGCUGGAGUAGGAUUUUCAUAAUCAAAUACAAGUUCUGAUGUCGAAUCAAAUGGAGAUAGAAAUACUGCCUUGGACAAUGUAAUAUUCUUAUUGAAUUGGAUGCAAAGGUUUCCAGAGUACAAGAAUAGAGAUUUUUACAUUGCUGGUGAGAGCUAUGCCGGCCAUUUUGUACCUCAAUUGGCAGAAUUAAUCCUCCAGCAUAACAAGCUUGCUAAAAAGACUCUUAUCAACUUAAAGGGGAUAAUGAUUGGGAAUGCAGUGAUAAAUUAUGAGACUGAUAAAAAGGGAAUGUAUGAGUACCAUGCAAGUCAUGGCUUGAUUCCAGAUGAGAUUUUAGAGGAAAUAGAGAGAUACUGCAAUUUCUCGGACAAAGCCCUUCCUCAACCGCACGAGUGCGAUAAUGCCAUUGAUAUAGCUAUUGCUAAUACUGACCCCAUCGAUCUUUACAACAUAUAUGCCCCAUUAUGCCCUAAUUCCGACGACCUCACUGCCUAUAGAUAUACCCCCUAUAAAAAUUCACAAGUGAUCGAUCCAUGCAGUGAUGAUUAUGUAAUUGCCUACAUGAAUCGUCUUGAUGUUCAAAAGGCUCUCCAUGCCAGUGUCACCAAAAUUAAGUAUAAUUGGCAGCCAUGCAGUGAUGUCAUAGCAAGUUGGACGGAUAGCCCAUUAACAAUAAUUCCUCUUCUCAAAGAAGUUAUGGCAAAUGGAGUAAGAGCAUGGAUAUUCAGGUGAACACUUAAUUUCUCAGGCCACCAUUUUUCUUGUGCGUGUGUGUGUGUGUGUAUUUUUUUUUUCUAUUGUGUUAUUAUUCAACUUUUAAUGGUAAUAAUCUAUUUAAGGGUUUGCAAAAUUGCAGCGGGGACACAGAUGGAAUAGUACCAUUAACUUCGACUAAGAAAUCUAUUAAGAAGAUGAAGCUUCCUGUUGAAACACCUUGAUAUCCCUGGUUCCACAGUGAUGAGGUUGGUGGAUACGCACAAGUAUACAAAGGUAAUUUGAUAUUUGCUACAGUGAGAGGAGCAGGACAUCAAGUGCCAAGUUAUCAGCCUGCUAGAGCCCUUUCACUCGUUAACCACUUCCUUGCAGGAACAAAGCUCCCCAAUUCUCCAACACACAAAAUAAUAACGUAGUUAUUUCCUGUACAAUCAAUUAUAUAUUCCUCUUUCAAUAAUGUACACCUAGACUUUAGUCAAAACAUCGUAAUGAGACAAAAUUAUUAAAUAAAUUUCAUUUUCUUUCUUAUCGAUAUAUUAUCAGGUACUGCUGGUUUUACCCAUAAGUUAAGUACAUAAUAGCAUGUGAACUAAUUGUAUGAACGCUGGUAUUCAAUUUAUUGCCAAUUGGAUCAUAUAGUUGAAACGAAGUCUGUAACAAACACUUAAAUGCUCAACAGUAGGGAACUAAUUCCUUU